rnacentral:rRNA from 1 species
AACGAACGCUGGCGGCAUGCCUAACACAUGCAAGUCGAACGAGACCUUCGGGUCUAGUGGCGCACGGGUGCGUAACGCGUGGGAACCUGCCCUUAGGUUCGGAAUAACUCCCCGAAAGGUGUGCUAAUACCGGAUAAUCUCUUCGGACCAAAGAUUUAUCGCCUUGGGAUGGGCCCGCGUUGGAUUAGCUAGUUGGUAGGGUAAAAGCCUACCAAGGCGACGAUCCAUAGCUGGUCUGAGAGGAUGAUCAGCCACACUGGGACUGAGACACGGCCCAGACUCCUACGGGAGGGAGCAGUGGGGAAUAUUGGACGAUGGGCGAAAGCCUGAUCCAGCAAUGCCGCGGGAGUGAUGAAGGCCUUAGGGUUGUAAAGCUCUUUUACCCGGGAUGAUAAUGACAGUACCGGGAGAAUAAGCUCCGGCUAACUCCGUG